CCUACGGGCGACAGCAGUGGGGAAUAUUGCGCAAUGGGCGAAAGCCUGACGCAGCGACGCCGCGUGAGGGAUGAAGGUCUUCGGAUCGUAAACCUCUGUCAGCAGGGAAGAACGGUCACUUUGCUAAUCAGCAGUGAAUUGACGGUACCUGCAAAGGAAGCACCGGCUAACUACGUGCCAGCAGCCGCGGUAAUACGGAGGGUGCGAGUGUUAAUCGGAAUUACGGGGCGUAAAGGGCUCGUAGGCGGUAGGUCAAGUCAAGGGUGAAAUCCUCGGGCUCAACGUGGGAACUGCCUUUGAAACUGGCAGGCUGGAGUGUAUGAGAGGAAAGUGGAAUUCCAGGUGUAGGAGUGAAAUCCGUAGAUAUCUGGAGGAACAUCAGUGGCGAAGGCGGCUAUCUGGCACGUAACUGACGCUGAGGAGCGAAAGCGUGGGUAGCAAACAGGAUUAGAUACCCCUGUAGUC
rnacentral:rRNA from 1 species